CAAGGAGCUAUACAGAAUAAAUAUAUAAAAAAAUUAAAAUGGAUAAUAUCUAAGCAAAUGAAAACGAGGAACCAGUCAAACUUAGAGACGUAUGUGGCCUUAGAUGGUAUAAUCGUUCCUGAUUUUGUUAAGGAGGUACUAAGACUGGGCCCGAACACUGUAAUACAGAAUCCCCCAACGUGGGAAAGUCUGGCAAUACAGCUAGAAUCACUUCUACAAGAAUGUAGCCAAGUGAAAGCAGAUGAACUUAGAUGGCAAGUAGCCAGGUCUUUGAAAAACACCAGUUAUAAUGAUUUAAAAUCCCUAAGAUUAUGAGUAAAAAGAGCAGAGGAAUGGCUGGAACAGAU
rnacentral:lncRNA from 1 species